AAAAAAAGGGGCGGUUUGACCCGCCCACAUUUUUCCCUAAUCCCUUUAAUCCUUUUCAUCGUCCUGAUGAAUCGCGUCCUGCGAUGUCCUU
rnacentral:misc_RNA from 7 species